UGGGAUUAAGCCAGGCUUGGUGUCUGA
rnacentral:piRNA from 1 species